CAGCUAUUUUGACAUCUUAUUGCGUAUAUUGUAAACUUAUAAAAAAUGUAACUGAUUUUCUUAUACUUGUUUAAUGUAUAAGUGUACAGGAAAUAAUAUUUAAUUUUAUUAACUGUACGUGAGUAUAUGGCCGCCACUGUAUACACGACCUAGUAGUGAGAGGUAUAAAAUAAUAUAAUACACAGAAAAGGAGUCUUGUAUGGUGUAAACAACGUGUAUGCAUUUUAUUUCAACAUUGAACAUUCACUAAUGUGUAUACAAUAUUAAAUAUAUCUAUAUAUACAAAUAUAUAUGUAUAUAUAUAUUUGCGUAUAUGAUAUACAUAUGUUGAUAUAGUAUUAUCGUUUAUGUAUACAAGAACAUCAUUUACUUUGCUGCUGUUAAUGUAUACACGUACAAUGUAUGCAUUUAAUUAGUCAAUAUGAUAAUUAUUCUAAUGUAUAAUUAAUUAUACAUAUUGUAUACCACUCUAUCACCCUCUAAUUGUGUCGAUAAAUACAAUUUUUAAUAAAUUACCUUAAUCAUUUAUCGGUUUCGUGGAUAAAAUUUUGCCUCGAUUAAUUGUAUACACACACACGCGCGUACAACUAAUAAUUUUUGUCUGCAUGCACGCGCAUGUAUAAUAUAUUCCCUGUAUCUUACUCUCGUAAUCAUCUAAGAAAUUACCUACUUCUAUAUAUUUGUUAACUAACUAAUUAAUUGGUAAUUUUUCGUUUUCUCUCCCGUCCGCGUCGUCUACAGUUGUUUUUUCUUAUAUCACAAUUACCGUGUAUCAUCGCGUCGAACGAUAUUAUUCGAAAUUCGCAAAUGGUUGUUCUUCUUCUUUGUUUUCAAGGUCGUCUAUGACCCUUUGAUAGACGCAAGAACGCAGCAACAAUUAAACUUAGAACAAAGGUUAUGACCUCAAAAACUUGUGGGCGUUGUAGGCGUGAUUGUAUCGUUUACGAACAUAGUAAACGCUGACGAUACUUUCUCGUCGUAAAAAUAGCAGAAGAACUACAAUUUUGCAAAAACGAAUACAAAAAACGAAAUUUACGAAGCAAUCGAAGAGUUUCAUUUGCCAUAUGUACACGAGCUAUAAAUAUCGUACCAGAAAUUAAAUUCGAUUUGUUUUUCAAAAUGAAUUUAACGCGUUCAAAAGCAAAAUAAUAUUUCUCCUUCGUUUCGGUGAUGCAGCACUAAUUUUUAAUCAUACCUUAAGUUAGUCAAUUUCUCGAAAUCGAAAUUAGUUAAAAUUAAUUUAACAGUUAUUGGCUUCGUUAAUUUCAACUCUUAAGUUUCACAGCUCGAUUACCUAACUAUAAUUAAUUAUCAUUAUCAAUACUGGAUAAUGAUCGCUUAUGAAUCGUAUUUAUUGCUGUUGUUUCGUGCAUUAACGUACAUUGAUAUCGUGAGAAAUAGCGCUGAGUAACAUAAUUAUAUAAAAGGGUUACAAUUGAUAACAAAAACAUCGUGUAACAAGAACGACAGAAAUAUCAUUAACGAACUGAUGGACUUAGGAGUUAAAAGUAGACUUUCAGAAUUAAGUAAUACAUUUCGGAUCGGUAAUGACUUCAACAAACUCUGAAACGGUUUUGCCAACCAGUUUUUUUCAAGUAAACCAAAAGUUUUCACAAAUUAUUUGGAAACUCAAAACAGAAAGUGUUUAAUAUUUAUAAUACAAUAGAAAAGAAAAUAACGACAACGUAUAAAUUGUAUUUUAUACAUUGGACGACAAAGUAAUUCUUUUAACUUUUUCGCUAUACAGAGUGACUCUUACACGUCAUACUUUUGAUGCUCUGGCGUAGUUAGAAAUUGUUUAAGUACGUAGAAGAGGAUCGAGUGAUUAUAAGGAAGAAACAGUUAAAACCUCAACUGUUUGUUACAUAUUUUAAAACACAAGAUCAAAAUCAAAAGAUAUACAGACAUGGAAAACGUUAGUGGAAUGUUCUUAAAUCGGCACCACUCUUUCGUUAAAGACGUGUUAAAUUAUUCUAUAGUGAUUAGGCAAUCAAGAUCGCAGAUGGAAAACAAACAAAAGUACUAAAAUACGCUAAGUACAACGGGAGAAAAGUGAGUUUAAACUGACUUUCUCAUUUCGUUUGUCGUUAACAUAAUAUUAAUAAGUGUAACAUUGAAAAACUCGUCAAAAAAAUGUUACAAAAGUUAAAAAACGAGUUGGGAAAUUUUAAUUAUUAAAUCAAUUUUAAUAGCUGACUUUGUUGGUCUAUGCUAAUGAUAAUUCAGCUGAAAAAUAAAAGCAUGUAAUUAAAGUUUAGACUUUUGUACAUUAAGAAUCAUGAACAACUUAGGGAUUAUGUAUAGGAGUACUUAGAAUUAGUAUAGGACCGUGAAAUCGCCAUUAAAUCAAUAUUUAACUCUACUUACUGUGACGUGUGAACAUUGUUGAAGUCGUAAAAAAUACCCGGCUAUGAAUACCUAAGUGUUAGAUUAUGAAUAAUUCAAUAAACUUGUUUUUACUAAUACAGUAGAGUAUAAAUAAAAUAGAGGUUCGAUAAAAAAAAAAGUGUGCCCUUUAGAUAUUAGAAUGUUGAUAUACCUUCUUUUAAAUAUGCACACCUGAAUAUUGAAAAAAUUAAAUAAAAAGGGAAAUAGUUAAUGUCAAUUUAUACUCGCGAUGCUUCGCCUUUAAAAUCAUAGAUUGUACACUUCGGAACGCGAGUUAGUUGAUUGCCAAAAAAUCUAAUAAAUGUAAUAAAAAUUAUUACUCUAUUCUUUGACUCUUUAUCUAUGAAAUUUAUUUUAAAAAGAUGUGGUGCCUUUGAAAACAUCUGAAAAAAAAACAAACGAAUUGCGUUCUACGAAGUGCCGUCUAAACGUUACGAAUCCUCAGUUUAAAAUUGAUCUUUCAUCAUGAGCAUCGUAAUUUUUCAUUCAAAAACACGCGAAUGCUUUGAGAGAAAAGUUCAAAUUACGAAGUGCUGUAUCGCUGUAAUUUUUCGCGAAUCAACGAUGCUUAUUAAUUUCGUUUCAUCAGUUUCAAUGGAGAUAUCGAAUGUCGCAUUUACACAUUUGCCAAUAAAUUACACGAGAACAAAUAACCUCAACGCUUAUUAGUAACACAAUGGGAUAUUUAAUAAAGGAAAAAUUCUUAGCAAUUAAUCCGUACAGGAUGCUCGAAAUUAAUGCUCACACAAUUCUCAUGUACGAAUCUACGCAUCGCGGUCGGUCGAUAUUUGUUAAAAAGAAACCUUUCGCUAAAUGUAUUUCAAUAAAUUUGAAUUUUUGAACAAAUUAAAAAAAUGAAUUUUCCGACAAACGUCCACCGAUCCAAAUGUGUAAAUUCAUACCUAGGAAUCGUGACCGUUAAUCUUUUUAUAUCCUGUACGUCGUGGAGUAUGGAAACAGAUUGAUAAACAGGGCUAAAUAAAUAAACAGUGAGACAUUUAAACAAAAUAAUCCGUGAAUUUAUUAGAAAUAACACAGGAAAGAAUAAAAGAAAUGACAAACAACAAAUCAAAGACAAUGAGGCUGCACUAACCGGUUAGGACGAUCGUCCAAUUAAUUAACUAGUGAAGCAACUAAUUGUAACUUAAUUCUAAUAGCAUAUCACAACCGCGAGUUCCUCUUUCGAUGUAUUGAUAUUUUCAGUUUUCGAAAGAAGACCAUCGGUAUCGCCAUCACUUCACGUUAAUCUGUUUUUUCGCACGCGGGCCAAUUAUACUAGCGAUAUUUCCAUUCGCAAUACUUGCCAUCUUAUCCGAAGAAGUUCAACUCAAGUUAAACAAAUCCGCACCUUUCGAUCUAUAUACCAGCAAUUCAAUGGUAGAAAUGCGAAACAAUUGGUUAAUUGAUAAUAAAUUGUUCGAUAAUCCAAUAGUAGAACUGCGAAACAAUCGAUUAUUUGACAAUAAAUUGUUUCGUCGUUAAGUUUUGCAAAAUAUUUCCCACCAGUAAUUGCAAUAUCCUUCUAAAAACUUUCAUUCGCUUCGAUGCCAAAGAUAUCUACUAUAAUUGCGACCUGGAAAUGUUUUACAAUAAUAGAGAUUUUCUCGUAGUAAUUCCGUAACGAUGACAUAUCUAUAGAGGCCUUCGUUUAAACGAUUUCAAUCGCUGACGAUUCGCCGCAAGAUUCUUCGAAAAUUGCUUACACGUUCCGUAACGAUAUUUCAGUUUACCGAAACAAAGCUGACACCAAAGGAUAAUCUAUUACGAAAAAGUGAAACUUCCAAAUAACACAAUUUAUUUCAAUUCUCUCGCGUGGUACUAUUGUUAUGGACUUAAAAAGGACGGUGCUCGGCUGAUGGCGGUUGACUUGGAAGAAAAAUUAAAAAUUAUUAGCUAUCUUGGUAAGCACAUAUUACACACACAACUUUAAUAUAACUUUUAACGUGUUAUAAGUUGUAUUAAAUAAAGGAAUAAAUUGUAGAUACUUUAACGUUACUUU